CACCAGCGCCACGAGUGGCAAUCGCGUUUAUUGGGCCUAAAGCGUCCGUAGCAGGUUUUGUAAAUUUCUUGUGAAACUGCCAAGCUUAACUUGGCAAUGUGCAGGAAACACUGCAAGACUAGAGACCGGGAAGGGUCGGAAGUAUUCCUGAGGGAGCGGUAAAAUGCUAUAAUCUCAGGAGGACUACCGGUGGCGAAGGCGUCCGACUAGAACGGAUCUGACUGUGAGGGACGAAAGCUAGGGGAGCAAACCG
rnacentral:rRNA from 1 species